GGAACCGUCAAGGAAGCGGCUGUUAUUUAUCGAACCCAAUAAUGGCUGCUACCCAACAAGUCUGUUGUUCUCUUCGCGCGCUGGUCGACAUUGGAGGGUCAUCCAUAUUUCAAUCGUCACUUUGAAGCCGUCAUUACCUCCGUUGCUCUGCUGGCCUUGCUGGUCUCCCACAAUGCAUUGCCAGAUGCGUUUCUGUGUGUCUCACCAAUCAUCAUAACAAAACCCAUCAAGCCACCCAGUUUACACCAGUGCAGCAAAACGGGAAGGUCCUAUUCUGGUCUAACUUGUUCCUCAUCUUUACUCCAACCAUGUCUGGUUCUGGAGAUUUACCAGGUGAGUAAUUCCUAUGACAGGAGUAUUCAAAUUUCAGUCAGGACUAGUUUUCCAUUGUUAGAAUUGG